GGUGUUGGCACACUAAUCUCUGGG
rnacentral:piRNA from 1 species